rnacentral:rRNA from 1 species
CCUACGGGAGUCAGCAGUCGAGAAUCAUUCACAAUGGGGGAAACCCUGAUGGUGCGCCGCCGCGUGGGGGAAUGAAGGUCUUCGGAUUUUAAACCCCUGUCAUGUGGGAGCAAAUUAAAAAGAUAGUACCACAAGAGGAAGAGACGUCUAACUCUGUGCCAGCAGCCGCGGUAAUACAGAGGUCUCAAGCGUUGUUCGGAAUCACUGGGCGUAAAGCGUGCGUAGGCUGUUUCGUAAGUCGUGUGUGAAAGGCGCGGGCUCAACCCGCGGACGGCACAUGAUACUGCGAGACUAGAGUAAUGGAGGGGGAACCGGAAUUCUCGGUGUAGCAGUGAAAUGCGUAGAUAUCGAGAGGAACACUCGUGGCGAAGGCGGGUUCCUGGACAUUAACUGACGCUGAGGCACGAAGGCCAGGGGAGCGAAAGGGAUUAGAUACCCGUGUAGUC